GUGACCUCAAAUCAGGUAGGACUACCCGCUGAACUUAAGCAUAUCAAUAAGCGGAGGAAAAGAAACUAACAAGGAUUCCCCUAGUAACUGCGAGUGAAGCGGGAAAAGCUCAAAUUUAAAAUCUGGCGGUCUUCUGGCUGUCCGAGUUGUAAUCUAGAGAAGUGUUAUCCGCGCUGGACCGUGUACAAGUCUCCUGGAAUGGAGCAUCAUAGAGGGUGAGAAUCCCGUCUUUGACAUGGACUACCAGGGCUUUGUGAUGCGCUCUCAAAGAGUCGAGUUGUUUGGGAAUGCAGCUCAAAAUGGGUGGUAAAUUCCAUCUAAAGCUAAAUAUUGGCGAGAGACCGAUAGCGAACAAGUACCGUGAGGGAAAGAUGAAAAGAACUUUGGAAAGAGAGUUAAACAGUACGUGAAAUUGCUGAAAGGGAAACGCUUGAAGUCAGUCGCGUCAUCCAGGGAUCAACCUUGCUUUUGCUUGGUGCACUUUCUGGUUUGAUGGGUCAGCAUCAAUUUUGAUCAUUGGAAAAAGGUUUAGGGAAUGUGGCAUCUUUGGAUGUGUUAUAGCCCUUGGUCAUAUGCAAUGGUUGGGAUUGAGGAACUCAGCACGCCGCAAGGCCGGGUU
rnacentral:rRNA from 1 species